rnacentral:rRNA from 1 species
CCUACGGGGGGCAGCAGUGAGGAAUAUUGGUCAAUGGUCGGGAGACUGAACCAGCCAAGCCGCGUGAGGGAGGAAGGUACAGAGUAUCGUAAACCUCUUUUGUCAGGGAACAAAGACUGGGACGCGUCCCCGGAUGAGUGUACCUGAAGAAAAAGCAUCGGCUCACUCCGUUCCCGCAGCCGCGGUAAUACGGAGGAUGCGAGCGUUAUCCGGAUUUAUGGGGUUUAAAGGGUGCGCGGGCGGUCUGUUAAGUCCGCGGUCAAAGCCGGGGCUCAACCCCGGCCCGCCGUUGAAACUGGCAGUCUCGAGUUGGAGAGAAGUAUGCGGAAUUCGCGGUGUAGCGGUGAAAUGCAUAGAUAUCGCGCAGAACUCCGAUUGCGAAGGCAGCAUGCCGGCUCCACACUGACGCUGAGGCACGAAAGCGUGGGUAUCGAACAGGAUUAGAUACCCUUGUAGUC